UACGUAGGGAGCAAGCGUUGUCCGGAAUCAUUGGGCGUAAAGCGCGCGCAGGCGGCCUUUUAAGUCUGAUGUGAAAGCCCACGGCUCAACCGUGGAAGGUCAUUGGAAACUGAAAGGCUUGAGUGCAGAAGAGGAAAGCGGAAUUCCACGUGUAGCGGUGAAAUGCGUAGAGAUGUGGAGGAACACCAGUGGCGAAGGCGGCUUUCUGGUCUGUAACUGACGCUGAGGCGCGAAAGCGUGGGGAGCAAACAGG
rnacentral:rRNA from 1 species